rnacentral:tRNA from 1 species
AGCGGUGUAGCUCAACUGGAAAGAGCGACUGAUGUUCGAUGGGCUUCCUACUUCUCCCAGCGUCAGUAAGUGUGGGUUCGACUCCCGCCACCGCAACCA